AAUUGUAUAAAAGCCGGCCCCCCGGUGGAGAAAAUUCAGUUAUAUCAUUGGCUUGGAGCUGAAAGGUAGGCCUCCAGCCUGGAGGCUCAGGCCAUGAGGACUUUCCAUUGGGGAGGUUGCCGUCCAAGAUGAAGGAGAACAACUAACGUAGCAAAUACAAACACUAUCGCUUCGAUCCGGAUCGGCACCGGCACCGAAUAUCCCCGAAGGCGUCACCAUAACUCAUCAACCAGGAAAAGACAAGGAUAAGUCAGCCUCAAGGCUAGACCACAAGUCUGGUAAACUAGAACCGACAAGACAGAAGACUAGGACAAGCCAGACCAAGCCGAAUAGCCAUAGAAGAUGACUUACAAGACCAGGACAAUUCUGGUCAGGAGGCAAGACAGAAGACUAGGAUCAAAGGCCAAGAUUCCAGACGAUUCCAGGAUUAGAGGACCAGGGCAAGAGACCACCAAAUCAAGCCAGGUCCCUACGACCAGGAUCAGGACAAGCCAGACCAAGGGACAAUACAAAACCAAGACUAACCAGCCCCCUAAGACCAGACAUGGACGGCAAAGGGGGCUGAUAUUGGAGGAGUAACAUCCUCCUAGUAAUUAAUCUAUUAAUUAAUUCCAGUGACGAAGAAGACAAAGAGUGAAGAAAAGAAUUAUAAAUAAAAAUAGUAUAAAUUUUUCAAAUAA